rnacentral:rRNA from 1 species
UACGUAGGGACCGAGCGUUGUCCGGAUUCAUUGGGCGUAAAGAGCUCGUAGGCGGCUGUUCAAGUCGAACGUGAAAACUCGGAGCUCAACUCCGAGCCUGCGUUCGAUACUGGACGGCUAGAGUCUGGUAGGGGGAUCUGGAAUUCCUGGUGUAGCGGUGGAAUGCGCAGAUAUCAGGAGGAACACCGGUGGCGAAGGCGGGUCUCUGGACCAGCACUGACACUGAGGCACGAAAGCGUGGGGAGCAAACAGG